UGAGGAAUAUUGCACAAUGGGCGCAAGCCUGAUGCAGCGACGCCGCGUGUGGGAUGAAGGGGCUACGCCUCGUAAACCACUGUAGCCCGGGACGAAAAACGCCUUAGAGGCGUUAGACGGUACCGGGAAAGUAAGGGUCGGCUAACUACGUGCCAGCAGCCGCGGUAAUACGUAGGACCCAAGCGUUGUCCGGAUUUACUGGGUGUAACGGGUGCGCAGGCGGAUGGGUAAGUCAGGGGUGAAAGUCUGCAGCUUAACUGUAGAAUUGCCUUUUAUACUGCUCAUCUUGAGUGUGGGAGAGGUUGAUGGAAUUCCCGGUGUAGCAGUGAAGUGCGUAGAUAUCUGGAAGAACACCAGUGGCGAAGGCGGUCAACUGGCCCAUAACUGACGCUCAUGCACGAAAGCGUGGGGAG
rnacentral:rRNA from 1 species